GCUCCCAUGGCGUAGUGAUCACUGCGCUCGCCUUGCACGCGAGAGACCCGGGUUCCCGGCGGGGUCA
rfam:Asian citrus Psyllid, Diaphorina citri - Florida Strain, whole genome shotgun sequence.